ensembl:snRNA U4 U4 spliceosomal RNA
AGCUUUGUAUAGUGGCAGUAUCAUAGCUUAUGAGGUUUAUCUGAGGCACGAUUAUUGGUAAUUGAAAACUUUUCCCCAAUACCCCACUGUGAUGACCUGCAGUAUAGUCAGCAUUGGCAAUUUUUGACAGUCUCUACAGAGA